rnacentral:rRNA from 1 species
GACAUAGGUGGCGAACGUUAUCCGGAUUUAUUGGGCGUAAAGGAUGCGUAGAUGGUGGAAUAAGUUAUUGGUCAAAGUCAAGCUCAACUUGGCGGAAGCUGGUAAUACUAUUCUACUUGAGGAUAGGAGAGGUUGGCGGAAUUCUGUGUGGAGCGGUGAAAUGCGUAGAUAUAGGGAAGAACACCAAAGAGGCGAAGGCAGUUAACUAUUCUGAUCCUGACAUUGAGGCACGAAAGCGUGGGGAGCAAAGCGG